UACGUAGGUGGCAAGCGUUGUCCGGAUUUACUGGGCGUAAAGAGCGCGCAGGCGGCCAAGUCAGUCGAAUGUGAAAGCCCCGGGCUCAACCCGGGAAGUGCACUCGAUACUGCAGGGCUUGAGUAUCGGAGAGGUUGGUGGAAUUCUCGGUGUAGAGGUGAAAUUCGUAGAUAUCGAGAGGAACACCGGCGGCGAAGGCGGCCAACUGGACGAUUACUGACGCUGAGACACGAAAGCGUGGGGAGCAAACAGG
rnacentral:rRNA from 1 species